GAAACGCGAUAGUUAAUGUGAAUUGCAGAAUUCAGUGAAUCAUCGAGUCUUUGAACGCACAUUGCGCCCAUAGGUAUUCCCUUGGGCAUGUCUGUUUGAGCGUCAUUACAACCCUCAGCUAACCGCUGGUUUUGAACCUGAACGGGUGACACCGCGCCGGUUUUAAAGUUGUAAGCUCUGCUGGCCGCUCUGCCCAACCAGAACAUAGUAAGCACUACUUGUCCGGGUGAAGCUGAACGGUACGGCCUGAACAAAACCUACCCACUCUCAAGGUUUGACCUCAGAUCAGACAAGGAUACCCGCUGAACUUAAGC
rnacentral:misc_RNA from 1 species